rnacentral:rRNA from 1 species
GCCUACGGGAGGGCAGCAGUGGGGAAUAUUGGACAAUGGGCGAAAGCCUGAUCCAGCAACGCCGCGUGGAGGAUGAAGGCCUUCGGGUUGUAAACUCCUGUCAGGUGGUAACGAACGAGCCGUGGCUAAUACCGCAAGGCUCUUGACGGUACUACCAGAGGAGCCCCG